rnacentral:other from 1 species
AGGUGUCUGCGGUGCUGCCGGGCUUUAUAGUUCCUUGAACCAAUGCUCUUUGAGCACGGGCUUGGUACAUUGCCUGGCAGGCGUGAUCAUCUCGCGUCAGAUGAACCCAAUGCCACGCUGCCCUUGCCCCCCUGAACCCUCGGUUCAGGAUGACGGCCUGGUGGCACUUGCAGACACCUC